UGUAAGGGUAGCACCAUUUUGGACCAAAUUGCCCAGAGAGAUGGUGGAAGCCCUGUUUCUGGAGCCAUUCAGGGUCAGGCUGGACCGGGCUUUGGACAUCCUGCUUUUAUUGUUUGCCACACAAAAGAACUGAAGUUUUGUUGCUGUUAGUUAUGGAAAUCCAGCUACCUUUGAGUACUGGAGUGAGAUGAAGUGGAGCUCUAAAUCAAUGAUUGAAAAUUUUUGAGCUGAAAGGCUCCCUUUCUCCCUCACUUGGAGAGAAGAGCAAAUAAAAAAAUGUUGUAAAAGCAACAAGCCUGAUUUCAGCAGCUCAGAAGCUGUUCAGUGGUGGCUCUCUGGUGAUCAUAAUCUAUGCUUCUUUGCUGUAAGUCUACAUAUGCUACUGUAGUAAAUGUUUUGUUUUUACUAACAGUUUGAAAGAGAACAAAACAAUAUUUUGCUUUGUAAAAUGAACAUAGAAGUUGCAACUUCUUAUGACCCACCUUAGGACCAUAAAGAAAAUACCUCCUGGGUCAGGUGAGAUGAAUCUGUGGG
rnacentral:lncRNA from 1 species